AAGACUUUCACUGAUCUAGUCAUCCUUUAUAAACCGAAAUCAUCACCGUAGAUCAACUCACAACUGUUCGACACAUCGACAGCAAAGCUUGAACAUAUCCAACUACUUUUCUAAAAACACCAACAUGAAAUCUUACGUAAUUGCGGGUUGGAUCGUGUUGCUCAUCGGAGCCUUGUGCUGCCUGGCGGUCGACGCCAAUCCUGCGACAGACUUGGAGAAGCCGGCCGGAAUUUUGAGUCCCGAUAAGAAAGAGCUAGCCAUGGAGGGAACAGCGGACCAGUCGCCAGCCGAAACUAAGCACUGGUGGUGGUACGGAAAGGAGCACGACUGGGACAAGAAAAAGCACGGAGAACAUCACGGCGAAAAAUGGGAAGGAAAACACAAGAAAGUCUGGUGGUGGAAAUGGUAGAAAGAGGAGACGAUGAAUUCAAAUUAUAUAAUACCGAUGGUUGUUCAAAGUGUUUGUUUAUAUAUACGAUCCCCCCCCCUCUAAUUUAGUGUAUUCAUUCUGAUCUUUUGUGGUUUGAGUGUGCGUUGUACUACCGACAUUGACAGUUAUACUGACCGACUUCCAAGUACUAUAACAAACAACGAAACGAGCAAGUAGUUUGUCUCAAAUCUGAUCUGUUGUGUACUCUUUUGGCUGCCCCUCUGUUUCCAUGGCAACCGAAAUGUCAAAGCAAAACAAAACCAAAAUACACUCAAUUGUUGAAAACGAA